rnacentral:rRNA from 1 species
AUUGAACGCUGGCGGCAUGCUUUACACAUGCAAGUCGAACGGUAACAGGCCGCAAUGUGCUGACGAGUGGUGAACGGGGGAGUAAUGCAUCGGAACGUGCCCAGUCGUGGGGGAUAACUACUCGGAUGAGUAGCUAAUACCGCAUACGAUCUAUGGAUUAAAGCGGGGGACUGGAAGGCCUCGCGCGAUUGGAGCUGCCGAUGUCAGAUUAGGUAGUUGGUGGGGUAAAGGCUCACCAAGCCAACGAUCUGUAGCUGGUCUGAGAGGACGACCAGCCACACUGGGACUGAGACACGGCCCAGACUCCUACGGGAGGCAGCAGUGGGGAAUUUUGGGCAAAGGGCGCAAGCCUGAUCCAGCAAUGCCGCGUGCAGGAAGAAGGCCUUCGGGUUGUAAACUGCUUUUGUACGGAACGAAACGGCUCUGGUUAAUACCCGGGGCUAAUGACGGUACCGGAAGAAUAAGCACCGGCUAACUACGUG